rnacentral:rRNA from 1 species
UACGUAGGGGGCAAGCGUUGUCCGGAUUUAUUGGGCGUAAAGAGCGUGUAGGCGGCCAGGUAGGUCCGUUGUGAAAACUCGAGGCUCAACCUCGAGACGUCGGCGGAAACCCUCUGGCUAGAGUCCGGAAGAGGAGAGUGGAAUUCCUGGUGUAGCGGUGAAAUGCGCAGAUAUCAGGAAGAACACCGGUGGCGAAGGCGGCUCUCUGGACGGUGACUGACGCUGAGACGCGAAAGCGUGGGGAGCAAACAGG